GUGUAUGCAGUUAUUCCCUGACUCAGUCUAGUUAGCUGAUGCUAAGUGAUACAUCACUUGAGUGGACAUGUGAUGUUGGUGUUGCUUGUAAGUGUAGCUGCAUCAGCUGAGUAACCUUUGGUAAGGAAUGGUGACCGUAGCUGAUGGCAAAAACAUUUUCACCUGGUUUUAGCAUUCACUAAGGACACAGAGAUAUAUGUAAUGAAUCACAGCUUUAAACAGAGGUCCUGCCUGUUCCGGUAGCUGGUGUGCAGUUGUAGAUGCUCAGGGGAAACAUAAAGGCAGUAAAAAGUUAUAAGUUGGCUUGCUACUCUGAAUUCAUUUUUAAGCAAAAUCAUCCUUGGAGAACAAUAGUUACAGAUAUAGGCCAGAAGAACCCUGAAAUUCAUCAAGGUGAAGUUUUGAGGUUUGCUGGAGUUAUUACAGCUGAUUUUGCCCCAGGCACAGUUCACUGGGGAGCUGGUACCUGGGGUUCCACUGAUAUCCCUGUCACUGGCAAGACUUCUAACAGGACACUUAGCAUCUUGUUAAUCCAAUGGCUUCAUUGA
rnacentral:lncRNA from 1 species